AUAAUGGGUCAGCGACUUAUAUUCUGUAGCAAGGUUAACCGAAUAGGGGAGCCGAAGGGAAACCGAGUCUUAACUGGGCGUUAAGUUGCAGGGUAUAGACCCGAAACCCGGUGAUCUAGCCAUGGGCAGGUUGAAGGUUGGGUAACACUAACUGGAGGACCGAACCGACUAAUGUUGAAAAAUUAGCGGAUGACUUGUGGCUGGGGGUGAAAGGCCAAUCAAACCGGGAGAUAGCUGGUUCUCCCCGAAAGCUAUUUAGGUAGCGCCUCGUGAAUUCAUCUCCGGGGGUAGAGCACUGUUUCGGCAAGGGGGUCAUCCCGACUUACCAACCCGAUGCAAACUGCGAAUACCGGAGAAUGUUAUCACGGGAGACACACGGCGGGUGCUAACGUCCGUCGUGAAGAGGGAAACAACCCAGACCGCCAGCUAAGGUCCCAAAGUCAUGGUUAAGUGGGAAACGAUGUGGGAAGGCCCAGACAGCCAGGAUGUUGGCUUAGAAGCAGCCAUCAUUUAAAGAAAGCGUAAUAGCUCACUGGUCGAGUCGGCCUGCGCGGAAGAUGUAACGGGGCUAAACCAUGCACCGAAGCUGCGGCAGCGACGCUUAUGCGUUGUUGGGUAGGGGAGCGUUCUGUAAGCCUGCGAAGGUGUGCUGUGAGGCAUGCUGGAGGUAUCAGAAGUGCGAAUGCUGACAUAAGUAACGAUAAAGCGGGUGAAAAGCCCGCUCGCCGGAAGACCAAGGGUUCCUGUCCAACGUUAAUCGGGGCAGGGUGAGUCGACCCCUAAGGCGAGGCCGAAAGGCGUAGUCGAUGGGAAACAGGUUAAUAUUCCUGUACUUGGUGUUACUGCGAAGGGGGGACGGAGAAGGCUAUGUUGGCCGGGCGACGGUUGUCCCGGUUUAAGCGUGUAGGCUGGUUUUCCAGGCAAAUCCGGAAAACUAAGGCUGAGGCGUGAUGACGAGGCACUACGGUGCUGAAGCAACAAAUGCCCUGCUUCCAGGAAAAGCCUCUAAGCAUCAGGUAACAUCAAAUCGUACCCCAAACCGACACAGG
rnacentral:rRNA from 1 species